AACAAAAAUGUGUCCAAAGUACACGGAUGCCCCACUCGCACUAUCCUUUUCCAUGUUCCAUGGACCGUGAAAUUGGGUAAUUAUCUAAUUUGGCAUUAAAAUUAAAAAGAUCAUAUCAUAAGCAACAAGUGUACUAAGUUUCAAGUUGAUUGGACUUCAGCUUCAUCAAAAACUACCUUGACCAAAAACUUUAACCUGAAACUCCCACUUUCAUUUUCUAUGUUCAGUGGACCGUGAAAUUGGAGUCAAAAGUCUAAUUUGGUUUAAAAAUUAGAAAGAUCAUCUCAUAAGCAACAAGUGUACUAAGUUUCAAGUUGAUUGGACUUCAGCUUCAUCAAAAACUACCUCGACCAAAAACUUUAACCUGGACGGACGAACGGAACCACAGACGGACGGACGGACGGACGAACGGAGCCACAGACCAGAAAACAUAAUGCCCCUCUACUAUCGUAGGUGGGGCAUAAAAAUAAAACUGCAAUUAUACGAGAAGCGUGUACGUUUUAAUGAAAAAAUAAAAAGAUGGCUAUUUUACAAUAAUACGAAAGUGUCAUGAAUAUAAUUAUAAAUCACGUAUAUAUUUUUGGGAG
rnacentral:lncRNA from 1 species